AAACUGCUGACAGAAGAUUAAGAUCAAGAACCGAUUACACAGGACAGAAUAAACUGAUAGGGAUGAUUAUAACUUUAAUGACUUUUUGAUUGAGAUAUUGCUGAUUUUUGAUGUUUUGCUUUUUUCAGAGUGAAGAAAACUUUUUUUCUCUAUUCUCUGAAAGAACUAUGACUUGCAACAAUUUAUAAACAAAAUUGAAACAUUUGUCUUUUCCUCCCUAUCUGAGCCCCCCAAAACGCAAAAACUUCUGAUAAGACACAAUUGGAAACAGUGGUUAUAUUACCAAGGCUUUGACUGGAACAUCAUGUUUGAAAAAACAGAUGGGCUUGAGUAUAACAAGACAGCUUUUGAGGAAUGAAGGUUGACAUUCUGGAAUAAAGCCACUUGGAAAUAUUGGCCUGGUACUGUGCUUAUGGGUUCUGUAACCUGAAAAACUUCGUAUUAAAUACCUGGUUACUAACUUACAUGAUACAGGCCCACCUUCAGGAGCCCACCAGCAUCACCGCCUUAUUAAAAGACUGGUUCAAUGAGAUGAAAUGACCUAUGCCCCAUUUCAGCAGGAAGUAGCUAGAUCCGUCGCCGCCCCCAAAUCCCUCAAGAUUGAGGGAGGACAUAAAAUAGGGGGGAGUUGAUAUCGACCCUGAUAUCAGUUUCCCCACAUUAAACUCAGCAUGUAUGGGGUUAAAACCAAAACACUCAUUCCCUGCUUACUCUCUGGCUUCCUGGCUCCAGAAUCCACUAUCCUCCAUGGAGACAGACACCGUCAAGGACAAGCACCUGGACUAUCUCCUCCCGCAAAGAGAUACGGGCUGGUGGGGAAGCUCCGACCAGCAAGGCCAUAUGCUCCCCCUCCCCUACCUGAAACCCCAAAUAGAAACCCUUCCUUUUAGCUUUUCGGGGAGUUUGGGAUUUCAGCGUUAGCUACCCUCUCUCCUUGCUCAGCGCUGUGCAAAAGUAAAGUUCCUACUUUCUUCCACC
rnacentral:lncRNA from 1 species